UUCAUUCAGCAGCCUGAAAUCCCAGAACUCAGGAGGCUGAGGCAGGAGACUCCAGAGUUUGAGAGCACCUGAGAUAAGAUUCCAGCAUCCAGUCCACCUGAGGCAGUUUGCAAGCAUCUGGAACUCCGGCUUCCCGGGCUUCGAUACCCUCUUCUGGCCUCUUUGGGCACCUGCAUGUAUAGGACAGAAACUCACACAUGCACAUACACAUAAAGAGAAAUGUCUUUCUAAAAAUGUGAUAUCUGUUUAAUAUGUACACCUGUGUUCUGGGGCCUUCCAACAGAGUGACUUUCACCUGUGUGUGGCUGCUGUGAAAUUGGUGUUUCCAGGAGAGCAUAAAGUGAGGGCUGGCCCCUCAUGCUCUGCUGACCACUAACUUGACUUUCCACUCCUCACCGUCUUGUUUCUUCUUCUAUUCAGUCUACUAUCUGCUCUCUCUUGUUUCUUUUUUUUUUAUUUUUUUUUCCAUUUUUAUUAGGUAUUUAGCUCAUUUACAUUUCC
rnacentral:lncRNA from 1 species